rnacentral:rRNA from 1 species
AUUGAACGCUGGCGGCAUGCCUAACACAUGCAAGUCGAACGGUAACAGGGGCUUCGGCCCGCUGACGAGUGGCGGACGGGUGAGUAACGCGUAGGAAUCUUCCCAGUAGCGGGGGAUAGCUCGGCGAAAGCCGGAUUAAUACCGCAUACGCCCCACGGGGGAAAGCAGGGGAUCGUAAGACCUUGCACUAUUGGAUGAGCCUACGUCUGAUUAGCUAGUUGGUAGGGUAAAAGCCUACCAAGGCGACGAUCAGUAGCUGGUCUGAGAGGACGAUCAGCCACACUGGGACUGAGACACGGCCCAGACUCCUACGGGAGGCAGCAGUGGGGAAUAUUGGACAAUGGGCGCAAGCCUGAUCCAGCAAUGCCGCGUGUGUGAAGAAGGCCUGCGGGUUGUAAAGCACUUUC